rnacentral:lncRNA from 1 species
GCGCACAUACCAUACAUAUAGUAUAAAAAUUUCGAUUCUAUUGUAAACAAAAGGAAAAUCAUGAUGAGAUUCAAUCAUUUGAAAUCUACUUCUUCAAGAUCUAAUUUAUAUUAAUAAUCUUUCGUUGUGUAAAUCAUGUCUUUACAUAGGACUUUUAAUUAUAAAUGCAUAAAAGAAGUAUACUUAACAAUGCAAUGUAUCAUUGUAUAUAUAUGAAUGUACCUAAUGCCAUGUAACAUGAAUCUUGUA